rnacentral:lncRNA from 1 species
ACCACCGCCUGACACAGUCUCGGAGACUAUGCCACGACGAUUUUACCUGUUUGGUCACUGUUUGGGCCUUUCUCUUGGCCCAACAUAGCCAAAACUUGGGCCCAACUAUCCCCUAAUUAGGUUAGCCCAAUUCUAGUCUCAAUUAUAUACUAACUAUGAAUUUUAAAACAUUUACUAAGCUAAAUAAAGUAUAUAAGUCUAGGUUUCUUUCUGUGAGUUUCCAG